UUGCAUUUAGACCCAAAAUGAAGGAAUCUGCCUUUUUUCCCAUAAUGGUUACAAUACGCAUUGCUCAGUAAUGCAGCCUUCCAUAGCGAGAGAAACGGCAGCUUCAGGAACUGUGUGCAUGGUUUAGAUUAAUUACACCCUUACAUGUGACUAGGACUCACAUUUUAAUAAUGACAUCAUUUAUACUUCAGACAUGCAUCUAUCAAUCCUCCCCAUAUCUAGGACAGGAUGAUUAGGGGCUUGGAGUCUGUUUCAGGUACCACCGGGUAACGAGGCAGGGGACAGCCGGGGUAGGAUGCCAGUCCGUCACAGGGCAGACACAUGUACUAUCGUGUUACGGUUCACUGAACAUGUGGGAGGAAACCAGGGGAUUCACCGAAAACACACACAGCAUGGGGAGGGCAAAUACACCCCACAGCACGUGGGGGUGGGCAGUGGUGUGCCUGGACACUCUGGGCCCCCUAUCAAAAUGUCUCUUCCCCCCUCUCCCCCACCCCAUCCAGUUUUAUGUAUAACUUUACAUAUUCAUGGGUCCCUAUCAAGCGCUGGGCCCCCUGAAUCUGCCCGGGAAUCCACGCCCCUCUGGCGCUGCUGGGGAUGGGUAUGAACACCCCCCCUCCUCAUGUCCUUAUGGUGAAGCCGGGGAGUCACACGUACAACCACUGCAGUGUUAUAAUAAUGACAAACUACAGCUUCCAUGGAACCGCUGAGGUGCAGUAGGGGCGGGGAGGCUGUCCCACCAUGAGGAGCACAGGGCUACAUGCAGACCUCCAGCUGAGAUCAGGAUGAAGAACAUAAUGAUGUGCUGGCAGUGAAUAGGAACAGAAAUGUUCUUUACAGGUACAUGCAUUGUUAAUGGCAGUGAGAUCAAGGCUAUGGCAAGUCAAUAUCUUACCCAUGAAUUGUGAUUAAAAACGGCGGCCCAGCGGCAAGCAGUGCCGCCUCACGCCUAGCUCUCUGUGGGCUGGUCUCUGCCCUGCUGUUUCACUGGAAUUUGCAUGUAAUCCUUCUUGUGCAGGUCUUCUCCAGGUGCCUUGCUUUCCCCACACAGACCAAAGACAAGUUUCUAGGUGAUCCCAUGUCACUAACUUGCCCAUAGGCUGUGAGUGUGCUUUGUGAUAGACUGGCAUCCCUUCCAGAGUGUCUCCUGCCCUGCGCCCUGUGUUGUGUGGAACAGACUUCAGGUACUGGAAACAGGGCCAUGAAAUAUGAGCAAAGUGGUUUAUUCAUACAUACAGACGCUCCUCUACUUACGAACCUUCGACUUACGAACUUUCAGACAUACGAACGAAGAGGACUGAACGUCCAAGAUGUGUUCAUUGGGUUCCCGUUUCCUGUCCGCAACAUCAAUUUUUUUUCCUGCGCGCCAAUUCCGCCAAGCGGCGCAGCGUGCGUACUCCCAGCAUCCUAGUUCUUUGUACUUGCGUAUACCCUUAAAAUGAUGUUGAACUUACGAACAUUUCAAAUUAUGAACGGCCGUUCGGAACAUUUCUCGUUCGCAAGUAGAGAAGCGUCUGCAUAUGCAUGGUAUUAAGGUAUAAUCAUUACUCCAUUUUAUAGAUGAAAGUAUGAGUAAAUAGAUAUAUAGACUACCAUUUAAAAAGGACAUAGCUUUAUUACUGUUCUCUUAUUUUAUCUGCUGCUCUUUUUUCAUUCUUAUCGUAUUCACUUUGCAGCAAUGUGAACUGAUCGUUGCUAAUGCUUGUUGUCUAUCAUUCUUAGAUUAACAACAAAAUUUAAUGAUGCUUCAGCAAGUCCAAUGCAUCAAGCUGCUACUCACCUAGCUACUCAAAUUAUCUCCACAUGGCACUUUGGAUAAAAGUGCUUCAAUCCAGACAAAACAAAAUGCCCAUUUAUUCUAAGUACGUAAAGAGAGUCCUGUUACUCCUCUUCAGAGGUUGAUAGUUCAGGUGCCGAAGGUAAAAAUCCAGACCAAGAUUUUGUUUUAACCAACCAAUUGAGUAUGAGUAGUCAUGUUCACCAAGUACUAAACUGGUUGAUUGAAACAAAAUCUUGGUCUGGAUUUUCUACUUUUUGGACCUGAACCUGCCACUGCUGCUCUUCUUCAUAAAGUGUCUGGAGAAGCAAGGGGCCACAUCACAAUGAUCCUAAUGAUGUGACGGCAUCUAGUGGGUCCCAGGACUCAAAACUCCCCCGAAAGACUGAACGUCCAGCCUCCCUUUGAGCAUAGAGAUCUCAUCUCCGGGUACACCGCCGCACGCCCGUCUGUUAAUAUCCGCAGUUACCCUAUAACUGCACCAUCCUGCAGGUCCCCAGAGAGCAGAUUACCAUCUGAAGAGCGUCAUGUGCCCAGCGGCGGAUGAAUCACCCGUCGGCGCUGUCUCGCGGCCAGGGGCGUGCUCAGUGCCGUAUUGUCGAUUCUCUUUAUUGGAAACAUUGAUACUCAGGCAGCAUAUAUAUCACUGUACAUAUAUAGCACUCUGACCUGCCAAACGGGGACAUUAGCUAAGCCUAUAAGCCAAGCCUUGGGGUGGCAAUGAGAGCAGCCAUUUCCAUCCAACGGCAUCACAUUGAAAACAAAUCAAACAAUACAGGAGGGAAUUCUGUUUUAUUCUGUUUUUCACAUUACAUGACACCUUCCGAUGACAUACAUUCUGGGACCUUUUGAUCCUCGAUCAGCUUUCUCCAUCAUUUAUAUUCUCUGUCCUUCGUAGCGGAGCUGUAAAUAAAAAUAUUUUAUAUCCCUGCUGUAACUACAGCGAGGAUUUCUGGGCACUGCAAGCUGAGCUAGCAAAUGUAAUCCUGCAUUUUUUUAUGAAUAUAAACUACAAAUCUUUCAUGGACCUACUCCCCAAAACAGCAAUAAAAAGCAGAUAUUAUGCAUAAAUCUGUGACGAGUGUCAGAAUCCAAGAGAAUAGAAGUAUGUAUUGUAAUCAAAAUAAAUUCUUUACAUGUCGCUGUUUAUACAUGCAAUGGCAAUUUUUAAAUAUUCUAUCUGCAAUAAUAUGUCUGGGAAUAGAAACCAUUAUAAUCGUGGGUUGGGUGGGAAAACGGCUUGAUAUUAAGACUAAAAAGUUUGUUGAGAGGUUCAGACUCCAGUCGUUUUGAGGUAGGGAGAUGCUUCACUGAAGCACUUUCUUUUGCCUGGAACCGUGAGAGUGAAGCAUAAAAUAAUUCAGCUGAAGAAUCUCCAGCGAUGAGGUGGGGCAGGGCAGAUAAAGACUGUACCAUGUUCCAUCUCUGACACAUAUUAAAUGAUCCAUAAAAGUCCAUUUUUGGAACCAGCUGUGCAGUGCAAAGUAAUCCUGCACCAUCCUGAGCCAGUAAACCAAGAGAGAAAAGGCAGAAUAAUAAUUAUUGGGUUUUUAAUUGCCAGUAGAAUCAUCCACCAGUCCGUCUUCCAUAUUGCACAUUCAACACAGCCAGUAUGGUGCUUACUGGUGUGCAAUGCCCAAUAUAAUUACAUCAAUUUGCAUCUGCUAAGCUGAUGGGCAAUAACAUAAUAGUAUCACAUAAAAACCCAAAAUACAUCGUUUAAGACCAAAAUAAACCAUUUCAUUAGAGACAUUUUCCUCCAGUAGUAGCACUAUAAUUAUCGCUGAACUUCAUUGCUCAUAAAAUGACCGGGGAAGUCGAUGUCAUAUUUCACUGAAUAAAUGCUCCCUGCAUUUCCAUGAGCACUUUCGCGGUGCAGGAUCGUGGCAGAGGGAAUAAGGCGGGGUGCCCAGUCCUGCACUGGGCUGACACACGUAUAUUAUGGGCAAUUUGGGGACUCAUUCGGCUAAUUGCAACUAAUUCAGCUAAUUGCAUGUUUUUGGAUUGUAGGGGGAAAGUGGAUUACCCAGAGAAAGCAGACAAACAGCGGGAGGACAUGCAGAGUGCACAGACACACAGAAGCAGCCAGUGCAAAAGCGCCAUUCUCAUGGUGGUCCCUCCCCAGUGAAACCAGGGGGGGCUUCACAGCGGUUGGACCAGCUCCUCAUUAACCCGGCCCAGACCGAGGACCAAAAGCCUGUUUGACCUUCUUCAGCAAGGCCAGAAAAUGCAUAUUAAUGCGAGUCUGGAGCUGCUGUGAGGCACUAAUGCAGCCCUGAGUGUGUGACUGACACGCAGCCCGAGACCAGUGAAGUGGGACUUCACCCUGGGAAUCACUGCUUCACCCCUGAUUUUGGUUGUACAGUAUUUUACAUCUAGCUGUACAAUUACACUGCAAAUCUUUCCUAUCAAUCAUUAACUGUCUUGUAUUUAGCAAUUAUAAAAUCUGGUUAGGAAAGAUUAACUUUUCCCGUGUCACUUACAUUUCUAAGACUUGUUUACCUGUUUCUGUCACUGUCUUUUCAGAUUCUCUAACCCUGCAACCUUGUACGUGUUUCUGUGCCUUUAAUGGAACCUCCAAGCACUAUUUUAUGUACCGUAUCUACUUAUAAGUCUCGCUUACAGAGGUUAGCAUUCAAAAUAGCGUGUAACCAUAAGUGGCAUUCUUAUACCCACAGAGGAAGUUCUUAAACUUAUAAUUAAAAGUCUUUUUAAAUUCUUAAAUUUCUUCAUGUGCAGUAAUGUCUG